GAUGAACGCUGGCGGCGUGCUUAACACAUGCAAGUCGAACGGUGAAGCAGAGCUUGCUCUGUGGAUCAGUGGCGAACGGGUGAGUAACACGUGAGCAACCUGCCCCUGACUCUGGGAUAAGCGCUGGAAACGGCGUCUAAUACUGGAUAUGAGCUGCGACCGCAUGGUCAGCAGUUGGAAAGAUUUUUCGGUCUGGGAUGGGCUCACGGCCUAUCAGCUUGUUGGUGAGGUAAUGGCUCACCAAGGCGUCGACGGGUAGCCGGCCUGAGGGGGUGACCGGCCACACUGGGACUGAGACACGGCCCAGACUCCUACGGGAGGCAGCAGUGGGGAAUAUUGCACAAUGGGCGAAAGCCUGAUGCAGCAACGCCGCGUGAGGGAUGACGGCCCUCGGGUUGUAAACCUCUUUUAGCAGGGAAGAAGCGAAAGUGACGGUACCUGCAGAAAAAGCGCCGGCUAACUAUGUG
rnacentral:rRNA from 1 species